rnacentral:rRNA from 1 species
AGCAGCCGCGGUAAUUCCAGCUCCAAUAGCGUAUAUUAAAGUUGUUGCAGUUAAAAAGCUCGUAGUUGAAUUUCGGGGUUAGUAAGUUGGUCAUGCCUCUGGUAUGCACUGGCUUUACUGAUUCCUCCUUCUUGAUGAACUGUAAUGUCAUUAAUUUGGUGUUGCAGGGAAUCAGGACUGCUACUUUGAAAAAUUAGAGUGUUUAAAGCAGGCAUACGCUUGAAUACAUUAGCAUGGAAUAAUGAAAUAGGACGUUUGAUCCUAUUUUGUUGGUUUCUAGGAUUGACGUAAUGAUUAAUAGGGAUAGUUGGGGGCAUUAGUAUUCAAUUGUCAGAGGUGAAAUUCUUGGAUUUAUUGAAGACUAACUACUGCGAAAGCAUUUGCCAAGGAUGUUUUCAUUAAUCAAGAACGAAAGUUAGGGGAUCGAAGACGAUCAGAUACCGUCGUAGUCUUAACCAUAAACUAUGCCGACUAGGGAUCGGAUGAUGUUAUUUUAAUGACUCAUUC